GAAGAGCACGUCCAUCAAGUGCCACUAUUUCGAUUCCUUAAAAGUUGAAACAAUCCUUAUUAAAGAAAGCUUAGUGUUCUCCAGAUAAUGUAAAAAAAAAUAUACAUGCCAUAUACCCAUACCAUAUUCAUCAAGAUCUAAAAGCUCUAUAACUAUUUAUAACCUAAGAUUAACACGCCUGCAUUAUCCGCAAAAUGCAGAACAGAUGCAUAAUUUUCACGGAGAAAUACUCUUCAUUAUCUUCAGCUGCAACACAUAUACACAUAUAUCUAUAUAUAUAUGUACAAGAAGCUACCUUGAAUCAGUUAUACCUUUCCCACUUACUAACUUAUAACCAAUAGUCUGCUUUCGGAUAUUAUUAAACCCUCUGAUUGAAGUCUGCGAAGCUAGGUGAAUAUCCCCUCUGAUUGAAGUCUGCGAAGCUAGGUUGCGGCUGCACGCUUCGAGUCUGGUUAUUUUUACUAGUUGAAUGAGGCAUGUGAAGCUGCUGCUGCUGUUGCUGUUGCUGUUGCUGUUGGGGCUGCUGUGCCUGGUGGUUACCAAAGUGAUGGAAUGACUGUGGAUGGGAGGAAAACUGAGGCGGUAAAGCUCUGUUGAAGCUGUUCCCAUUGGCAGCAGGUACUUGUCCCGUUGCUAUCUUAAGGUGUUGCACUUCUUCCCUCAGUGUUUC
rnacentral:lncRNA from 1 species